GCAUGGGUAAGAUUAGGAGCAUAGACAAUAGAGAAGUCAGACAUAUAAUUCACUGAAUAUAGACAACUGAGAAAUUACAUCCUACAGACAAAGUGAUGGCCCAGGGAGAAAUGUGGAAAAUUCAACACUUAUUUCACUGUUGACCAAAUCAACCCAAUGGGAAUAUCAGUAACAUUUACUUAAAGGAACUAUUGCACUUAUUUUGAUGCUUCUAUUGCUAUUUUUACUGAGGCUAAGAUGCACUCCACGGAGGACUAUGAUUUAACAUCACUAUUGCAGAACUAAGAAAUGGGAAAAAUAACAGUUCUCCAUUCUUCUUUACAGAAUCAUCCCCUUUUAAAACAUAAAGAAUGCAAAAACAUCUCUAAAUUCCAAACAACAGAGAAGCAUAUCUCAAGACUUUGAAUGUGUGACAAUCACUAGCUAACAGUAUCAAGAUCUAAAUAUCUCUAUGCAAAACUCAAAGAAAAAUAAAGUCAAUACUCGAAAGAUCACUAAAGGGUCAGCUAGUGGACACUGCCCACCAGAGACAAAGAGGCCAAGAAGUUUCAUGCUUCAUUUGCAUUCACGACAACUUCAGUGAAUCUUCAGUGUCAGCAGUCAAGGUGAACAAACCAUGCUGCUCCCUCAGCUGCAAUCUGUGAUUGAAUUAAAGGGCAUUUUAAUAUUUUACAGGAAUCUUGGAACAUCUGUUAAACUGUGGCUCCAUGUGUCAUUGUCUAAUGGACUGGAAAUGCAUUCGCGACUAUUUUUUCUAGUCAUUUCCUGAGCUGAUCUCUGACGUUUAAUGUUUUAGCAAGGGCAUUAUCAUCCACUGAGUGGUCAGAGCAAUUUCCACUCACAGUUCAUAGAGGAAGUUAGUUUCAUUGUUUUAUUCUUUUCAAAUAUUAAGUACAUUUAAUUAUAUUAAUCAGUAAAAUUAGGGUAAAUAUAUUUGCCUUAAAACAUUUUAAACAUUACAAACUUAUAAAUACUUACUUAUACUUCUAGAAAACAAUGUUCUUAGACAAAACAAUUAUCUUUAACUUGAAAAUCUAUUUUAAAAGCCACAAACCACAAACAUAGGCACGAUGUUCUUUACUAGAGGAAAUAAAAUUCUGAUGCUUUCUUCUGAUGAAUAUAGUUGGAGGUAAAUUUUUACUAUUUAAUAAUUUCAAUAAUGGAUAAUAAAUAACACUUGAGUCUUCUUCAUUCUUUGCACCACUAUAGCAUUAUGCAUUCAUAUGCCUUUCAAGAAAAUGGUCAUUAUUUAUUUCUAUUUGGAUUUUAGGAAUUGUGAUUGUUUCUAUGUUUUAAAAGGCUCCAGAUCUCAAAAAAAAAAAAAAGGAACAAAUGAAGUCAACAUCAAACAUGAUCAAAUAUGCCUUCAGUGAGGAUGUACGAGUGUUCGGUUGCCUCAAAUAUCAGUUUAUAGUGAUGUGUUAAUGUAAUUCAGCACCUAUUCUAAAAUUUCAUCUUCUGCAGAUGAGGAUUAUUUUUAAAAUUUCUUUCUUACAGUUGAGUAUAUAUCACAAAUACUGUGUGCUCUGAGUUUUGAUUUGUUUUGUCAAAGGCUUUUCAGAAUCUAAUGAGAUGAUCAUGUGAUUUUUUUAAAGUUUGUUUAUAUAGAGGACAAUGUUGAUGCAUUUUCCUAUAAUGAGCCAUCUCUACAUCUCUGGAAUGAAGUCUACUUGAUAUUAUAGAAUAAUGUUUUUGAUGUGUUCUUGGAUUCAGUUUUCUAGAAUUUUAUGAAAACAAGUGAGGCAAAGGGGAAGGGGAAUGGGCUGGGGAGUUUGGGGAAACCCAGAAUGGGGACAACCUUUGAA
rnacentral:lncRNA from 1 species